rnacentral:rRNA from 1 species
GGAAGUGAACGGCGUGCGGCGUGGCCUAACGACACUAGCAAAGUCGAACGGGGAGUAGUAUUGGAAGUAGAGGAGUUCGUCUGAAGGAAAAUAGUAUCUUAGUGGCGGACGGGUGAGUAACGCGUGGCGAACCUACCGUAUACAGGGGAGUAACACUUAGAAAUAAGGUGCUAAUACCGCAUAAGCGCACAGCAGUGCAUACUGGAGUGUGAAAAGCCGAGACGGUAUACGAUGGCCCGCGUCUGAUUAGCCAGUUGGCAGGGUAACGGGCCUACCAAAGCGACGAUCAGUAGCCGGCCUGAGAGGGCGGACGGCCACAUUGGGACUGAGACACGGCCCAGACUCCUACGGGAGGCAGCAGUGGGGGAUAUUGCACAAUGGGGGGAACCCUGAUGCAGCGACGCCGCGUGAGUGAAGAAGUAAUUCGUUAUGUAAAGCUCUAUCAGCAGGGAAGAAUAAAUGACGGUACCUGAGUAAGGAAGCCCCGGCUAACUACGUG